GCGGACGUGGCGAAAUCGGGCAUACGCGAUAGGUUUAGGUCCUAUUGGUGGAAACACCGUGGGGGUUCGAGUCCCCCCGUCCGCACCA
rnacentral:tRNA from 1 species